rnacentral:rRNA from 1 species
CCGGAAUUGCUAGUAAUGGCAGGUCAGCAUACUGCCGUGAAUACGUUCCCGGGCCUUGUACACACCGCCCGUCACACCAUGAGAGUUGGGGAUACCCGAAGCCUGUGAGCUAACUAUUUAUAGGAGCAGCAGUCGAAGGUAGAAUCAAUGAUUGGGGUGAAGUCGUAACAAGGUAUC